GCGUGCAGGAAGACGGCCUUCGGGUUGUAACUGCUUUUCUCGUGGGACGAGUAGGGACGGUACCAGAGGAAUCAGCCUCGGCUAACUACGUGCCAGCAGCCGCGGUAAUACGUAGGAGGCAAGCGUUGUCCGGAUUUACUGGGCGUAAAGCGCACGCAGGCGGUCUUGUCAGUCUGGGGUGACAGUUUCCGGCUUCACCGGGGAAGUGCUCUGGAAACUGCAAGACUUGAGGGCUUCAGAGGGAUGUGGAAUUCCAGGUGGAGUGGUGAAAUGCGUAGAGAUCUGGAAGAACACCAAAGGCGAAGGCAGCAUCCUGGGAAGUUCCUGACGCUCGGGUGCGAAAGCCAGGGGAGCGAACGGGAUUAGAUACCCCGGUAGUCCUGGCCGUAAACGAUGACCACUAGACGUUGGAGGUAUCGACCCCUUCAGUGUCGCAGUUAACACGCUAAGUGGUCCGCCUGGGGAGUACGGUCGCAAGAUUA
rnacentral:rRNA from 1 species